ACGAUCGGGGGAAGCGUAGUAGUGCCGCCUGCCUUCAUUUCUACUAAGAUGUGUGACUCAGCCAGAGAGAGACGAGAGAGGAGGCCGUUCUUAACGUUUACUUUCCUCCUCUUUCCAAAUGUAACGCAUGGCCGUUAUUGAGGAUACUGUUGAUAAGAAAAACCGAGAACAAGAGCCCAGAGGACUUGCUGAGGGAGCAGGCUUGACCCAGGAGGUAGUCUUAGAAGCACUGUUAUGCGCACAAAGCUUUAUCCUGAUUUGGGGAGCCGCCUAGUGCUAUCGUCCCCUUGCUCAGGUCUAAGGGCUGGACUGUAAGUAGUGGAUCCCUUCUGCCUGGAUUGUGGGUAAUUGUCUCCUAUGCUCAGAUGUUCGGUCUCAGGCCGUGGCGUUUGGCAGAAAUCAGUGAUUUUUCAGAACGUUGGAAGGUGCCCACAGUUGACACUAGUGUAUCCUUUCUUCAGAGCACCUAUGGACAGUCCUUUGCUUUUCCAUACAAGAGGAAGCUUAGGAAUGCUUCGCUUCAUUCCAGGUCAGGCUGCCUGCAGAUAUAGACCCUUUCUUCUGCCUUAUUGCCAGUUACAUUACAUACAGCAUAUGACAAGAGUUUAUCGAUACUGGACGGUGGUCAACAUCCGUGAGAGCGAAUACAAUGGUCCCCAUGCAGAAAAAGCCUCUACUGAGUCAAUAGACAGCAGUGAUUCCGUUAGUGAUAGUGAAAGUUGUCCUACACAAUAACCCUCCAAUUUCGUCUCCAUCACACCAGCCACGAAAGUUUUCAAAGCUCCAGUUGGUCUCAUGACAUCUGUAUGACAGACGAGGAAACUGAGGCAGAGACAAGCCCGGGUUACACAGCUAAGGAGUGCCAGGUACGGAUCCUGAUCUCGGCUUCAAAUGCUGGGUUGGGGUCAGAGGCACCAAGAGCAGUGGGAGGUCAGGAAAGAGAGUGGCCUUUGGGAGAGGGUGGUCAGCUUUGAAGAAGGGGAAGGGGUUGUAAGAGAGGAUGCGGUAGAAAAGGCAAAGUCUGUCAUGGGACAGCGACAUUGGACUGGACCAGAGCGUGGGGAGGCACAAGCACCCUGAUAUCUCUCUGUAGGUCUUUUCCGUGGACCCCCAGCCUC